CCCUGCAUCCGAAAGUGAUCUUGGCUGCCUGUGCCCUGGUCAUUGGUAGUGCAGGGAAAUCAUGCCGAAAGACGUGUUCUGAGUUCGGUCUAUCCUGACCCCUCCAAAUCCUAGAGCUUUCCUACA
ensembl:snoRNA Snora71a small nucleolar RNA, H/ACA box 71A